UCUUUGAUUGAAAUUUUGCAUAGCAUUGGCAAGAAAAUUGUUUUCUGAUGAAUCUGGUCGUGAUUAUCAUGAAGAUCACAGGAUCCUUUGCUGAAUUCUACAUUUGAUGAUCUCAUUUUUCGUGUAUUUUUCUAUUGUUAGGAACAAGGUUGGUGUGAAAUUGUGAUCAAAGUAAAUAAGAAGGGAUGAAGGAUAGGCAAAAUUAAAUGGUCUGUCAGAGGGAGAGAGAGAGAGAGAGUCAAACUAAUGAAAUACUUUGUAAGUCUCGUAAAAGUAAUAUUUGAUACUGAUUUGUGGGGAUGAUUCGAUAAGUUUCAAACAAAUUAAAUAAAAUAAAAUUUAUGAUAAAAAUCUAAGAGAAUAAAAUUGUACUCUCAAAACAUAUAAUUCAAUUUUUUUUUUUUUUGUGAUGAUGAAAUAAUACAAAUGGACAAUUUUUUUGUACUACAUUUGGUACAUAAGAAUUAUUUGCUAAUAAUACACAAUUUUAAAUACCAAUUAAAAUUCCUAGAUACAUGAUCUAUAGCCUCAGUUUGGCCCCCAUUUUUUAAAAUUAAAAUGGGUAUAAUAGUAUUUUUUUUAUUUUUUUUUUGAAAAUGGGUGAUUGAAAAAAAAAAAUUCGACUUACUUGUAAUAUUAUUUUAUGGAAAAUUGUGUGAUUAAAAAUAGGAGAGAGAGAAAUGAAAUUUAAUUUAAUGUGGGCCAAACGAGAUUAUAAUAUCUCUAAAUUCAUGUAGAUCAAGAUUCAUCGAGUCAAAAUAAAUUGAGUCUAGAUUAAUGUAAAUGUUAAUUAAUUGAGAAUUAAUAAUACGAAUUUUGUAGUACUUAUUACAUAUUGAAAAAUGAGAAAUAAGAUAUUAUUGAAAUAACUGAAUUAUAGUUGAAUUAAAAUCGCCAAAUAAAUGAUUCUCACUUGACGUGAUACAUUAAGGUAAAGAUUUUGUUUCAGAUCUUUCAGUAUGCAUAUCAGUGAACUGGAUCAAGUGAUGAAAAGAUUCACAAAAUCGAUUUCAAAUUUCAUACAAAAUAUGGAAUACCCAUAAAUCAAGAAAAGGAAAAGACACUUGCUUUUAUAUUUCUGACCAAAAUAACAUACUAAAUUCUUGAAAUUAUACAGUGGAACUCUUGGUUUUAUUACCACUAUAAUGUCGGAUCCUGGUCUUGUUAUUGUCGGUCCUAUGUGAUUCGAGAACCCUAUUUCACUUUGUUAUUUUACAAGUUUGUUUAGUAGGAUUCUUCCUUUUGAGUCUAUUCCAUACCUUAGAAAAAAUAAAAAAUGUCUAGUUUGUUAUGGACUCAUUCCCAAGAAGGAGAGUGAACAAGGGACGACUAAUUUGGUGUAUCUAAGAAUGCAAGCCUGGCUAGAAAGUACUUGAAUUGCCGUUUUAACCGACACUAGGAUAAGUAUUUACGGAUUUUGAAAAUUUUCACUUAGAGUGAAUGGUAAGAAUACGUAUAAUUACGUAAACUCGAUUGUUGUGACUUACCUCGAGUUGAUCAAACUAAAUCGGAACUAUAGAUUACAUAUGGCCUCAUGGUGGAAGGCAUAUUUUCUCCGCGCAAGUACAAAUAAUGUUACUUUUAACAAAAACAAAUGAUGUCAAAUAAUUUCUAUAGGUGAUGAGUGAAGGGCUAAUGUUAGUGUAUCUUCAUCUGAAAGGUAACAAUCUGUAUGGACCAAAUGGCUCAAAAUUGGAGAAUGUUAUUAUGGCAGUGGUUUGGUUUGCAACAUCACAUAUCCCCAUUCUUUUGGAGUAUACCUUGAAGUUAAGGAAAAAUGACACGUUAGACCUCAAAACAAGAAGAUUAUGAUAAGUUGAUAAAUCGAUAGUCCGCGUAAAACAUUUUCAAAUCUUAAUACACGUACACUGGGAUCGAUAUAAGACUUCCUUUUAAAUAUUUGAAACUAACAAAGUCGACUAGUCGAGCAUGCUCAUACUUAACAUGGACGAUACAUUUAACGGGAUCUCAUCACGUGAUGAAAUUGUAGCACAAAAAAGUACACAAAAUUACUCCAGUUCAUUGAUGGUGUCUUGGCUUGUGAUAAACUGUGGACCAGUCUUGAUGGACAAGAAGUUCUAUGUAAUCAAAUUUGAAUGCUCUAUCGGCCUCUGAUUUCUCAUCGGCAGCAUUAGGUUGCCUUUUUAUAAUUUGAAAUUAUUAAGGCAAAAGAGAGAGUUCAUUGAAACGUGUCGUUUUAUAUAUUCUUUUAUCAUUAGCCUUUUGAGUGGCAUUUCUGUUUACAACCUUCUUUUUCUUUAAUUUCAAUAUUUUCAAACUUCUCCUCCUAAAAUUGUACGUCAAAAAUAAGAUUUUUUCCCCCUUGACGAUCCUAACAAAAACUCUUGAGACCAAACAAUUGUCAUCUAACAUAUGGUCAAAAUUAAAAAGUCAAUUGUAGUUGGGCAAUUUUAGACUUUUUGCCUAACACAUGUUAUUGCUUCCUCAUGUUACAUUUUCUUCUUGGAAAUGAAAAUUGUGUCAACAUUUGAGAUAUGAACUUUAGAAUUAAAAUAUAAAACCCUAGAAAGUUGUUGGGCUUGAAAUGGGACAAGAUUCGUCUUGAUUCAAGUAAAAUUGAUUCUCUUAUAAAAGGAUUUCAUGAAAUAGAUAUCCUGCGCUUGGGCUCAAAGGUAUAUCUCCUUUUAAUUUGUAAUUUAGAAUCCGUUUGGCAUGAUUAUUAUAAGUGAGAUUUCUGACUUUCAUGGCACUUUGUUGAAAACCAACAGUUAUUAACUUUUUGAUAAUAGCUUUUUUUUUUUUUUUUUUAAACAAAUUUAACAGUUGUAUUCAUAAUAACAUGCCAAACGGACCCCUUGGAUACUUACUAUUCAAGACAAAUUCUUUAUUACUAAGGGUUCGUUUGAUUGUCAAUAUUUUUUUAUGAAAAAUGUAUUUUUCACCCAAAUUCCUACUUUCGUAUUGUUUGAUUAACAUUUUUUCCAUGAAAAAUGAUUUUCUACUUUUGGUCACGUGAUCAUAUUUUCCUCAAAAUCAGGGAAAAGAGUAAGAUUUUAUUUUUUAGGGAAUUCACUCACUCUCUUUCUCUCUCAUGUAUCCACUCUCUCUCAUUCAUCCAUCAAUAAAAAUCGGACAAGUAUAAUAUUUUUUAGGUUAAAAAUUAAAUAAAUCAAACACAUUAAAUUGAUAAUUUUCAUGCAAUUAAGUUUUAGGCAAUUGAAUUACCAAAAAUUUAUUUUCUUUUCAUGCAAAUUUCAUACUUGCAAUCAAGGCACCCUAAAUGUCUGUUUGCUUAAAACUCGUGUUUUUUAACAAUAAUGUUUGUCAGAUUUAGCCCUUGUUUGUCUCUUUUUUUUUUUUUUGCAAAUUUUAAUGUUUGCAAUAGUAUUUUUGGAGAAUAUGUGGUUAAAAAGGAAGAAAUAUUUUUUGAUUUACAUGUAAUAUUAUUUUGUGAAAAAUUGUGUGGUUGAAAAUAAAAGAGAAAAUUUUGAAAGGAAAAGUGGGCAAACAGGAGCUUAAGAAAGUAAAAAGAAAAAAGAAGAAAAAAUUUGAGUGGCGGUGGCCGGUGAGUAAGUAAGCAUGCGCCAGUCACGUGAUAUACGAAUGGACAAUACACGAAUCCAGCGGAAACACCACAUUAUAUGCAUGUGGCGUCACGUGAAUACUCCAUCCUUGUGGGCCAUGGGCCUCUUUAUCUUUCUAAAUCUUUUUGGGCCUAAAGUCCUUAACCACUUCAUUGUUUAUUUUUUAUUUUUCUCUUCUUGUUAUUGAAGAAAAUUUACAAAAAUGAUUCUACUAGAGUCAAAGUGAUGGCCCAUUCUCACCUUCAUUUUAUUUUUCUUUUUCUUUUACCCCAAAUUUUAUAUUCUCAAACUAAAAGGUUAUACUACUAAAGACCUAGUGUCACAUUGUUUUAUUGUUAUUAUGUAAUCACGAUUGUCCGUUAAAAAAAAAUUAUUUCUGUAAAUUCAUAAGAAACAUAGACGUGUUUAUUUCAUCAAGUAUCAUCGAUUAUGAUGAACAAUCAAUUUUCAAUUAAUUUUUCUCCCAAUAUACUAGACAUACAUAAUGUUAUCUAUAUAUUUACGGCAUAUUUAAUACUUUGGACUUGAUUUAAAGGAAAAUGUAAAGAUGCCUAGUCAUAUUCAAUCUUAACAUACUAACUUUAUUCACAUAUUCGUACAUCCACUUAUCCAGAUAUAAUCUGCACUUAUUGUAAAGAAAUGGUAAGAAUACCCCCAUUUGCCUCCUCUUAUAAAGCUCACAUUCGUACAUCUAAUUAAGGAGCAUAGCAAAAUUCAUAAAGCUCCGACCACAUGCAUUUAUGGUUUGUCUAUCAUGUAUGAUUUAUUUUUAUCAUUAACACGUCCGAAAUUCAAUUCUAAUGUUUCAUUUCGUCAUAUUGUCUCUUGAUCACGUACAAUACUAUAUAAAUCAUUUAAAUGGGUCAAAAUGAAAAGGUUACCUUUUAAUUUUCUUCAUUUCUUUUUGGUGGCUCGAGUGCCUGAAAUGUCUAAUCCUAUGUUGUUUAAAGCAUGCAUGCAUGCCACUUAUCAUGAAAAGGUUCAACAAUUAUUUCUAUUUUCAAUUUUUUAAUACAUGUGCUCACAAACAUUAUUAAAGUUACAAAAAAUAAUUCAUACAAUGUGAGUUGUUGAAAAUAAUCCCAAAUGCUUGUUGGGUUGCCUGCUUUUGGAUAGACCAAACAGGUGAAAAAAAGGCUGGCCUAAGAUUAUAAUAAACAUAUAUUAAUUUUGUUGGGUUUUAGGUUUGUUUUUUAGUUCAAUAAUUUUGGCACGGUGAAAUGAUCAUUCUUUUCGACUUUUGAUACUUGUACCAAGAGUUUGGUUAUGAAGAAAACAAUUUUGAAUGCGCACUAUAACUUGAGAGCUCAAUUUUUAGAAUUCGACUCAAGUUUAAAAAUCUCAAGCUUGACCCUAAUAACGAGACUUGUAUAGAGUUUGGUUGUUUCACCUCUCUCAACAAGUUCUUUGGUGGUGUGUUAGUGCCAAUGAUUUGAACAAUCCUUGCAUGUCCAAGGCAUUCAAGAUAUUCGGUAGGAUAUUGAUUAUUCAAAAUAUAGAAAGACUUGUCUGAUCAUAAUCUCGUUUUUAACUAAAUAAAAAAAUACAGGCUCUGCACAAGAAGUUAAGUGAUUUAUGAGGUGCUAACAUAUAGGAUUUUUCUAAUACAUCGUAACCUUGCAAUUUGAGCAAAUUACAAAAAUCCAACAUUAAAAGUUAAAAAAUAAAUGGAAAAUUAGGUAAAACUCAGUUGAAGAUCAAAUCACAUACAACUCUUAGUUGCUAAAUAAAGCACGUAUACAUUUUACCAGCCGGGUCGGGUUGCCACCCAAUCUUCUACCAGCAAUUUGUGGGCUCACCCUUUAUAACAUGGGCUUUGGGUCCUAUUUGGACCCUAGAACCAACUUUGGCCCAACCCAUUUAAAAAAUAAUAAUUUAAAUAAUGUUAUACGUACAUCAGAAUGUCCAUAACAGUGUCUACCAUCCUCACAUAGAAGGAUACCCUUAUCCAAUAAAAUAUAAAAAAUGAGCCGCCCUCCUUAUGAGAAGGGUGGACAUCUUUAUGAAAAUCGUACUAUGUACAAGUAACAUAUUUCAAAUAAUUUUGCAAAGGGAGACCUUUUAUUUACACAGCUGGGCGUUUUCUUGUUCAGUAAUUCUUUGUGCAUGAAAAAAAAACAAAAAACACACACACACACGCACAAAAUAGAACAUCGUUCGAAUAUCGAAGAACUAAUCAUCAAUAAUUAGCCUUCUAACAAGAAUACAUAUCAAGCCAUCCCAUCUCAGCCGUCUAGAGUCGAACACUCAUUGCCUCAAAAUCAUAAUUAUGUCUAUACCUACAAUGUCACAUGUCGACCGCAAAUCUUGAAAACCGUAUGUAUCAUUCUGUAUUACCUGAUAGUUGAAACCGGGGGAGUAUUAGUUUUUAAUUUUUUGUUAAUCGAAGAUUUUUUCCCCCUUUCAUAUGAAUCUACAGUAAAGCAUUCCAAAGAGCCUCUUCUCCUUCACCACAUUGUUUGUGUACAAAUUUAAUCUUUUCGACUGACUUGCAAAUUCCACUGCAGCUCCAGUCGAAGGAGGCAAUACAAACGUUACCUGCUUGUGCUUUCCAUUCACAAUCUGUAAAUGGCAACAAAAUUUACGGUCAAAAGAAGUAUGACGUGAGCAAAUGAAGUUACUCUUACUUAAAGGUAACUUCUAAGCUUAGCCAAACGUGCUAAUCUAUAGAACAAUACCUGGUGGAGUGCCACAACACAUACUGCGUUCAUCUAUGUGCUCGACUUCUAGACCAAUAAACCAAGCACCAAGCGACACAUCUUCGUUCGCAAACUUAUGCAAUAUGGGCCUACAUUUAUAAAUCAUAUUUCCAACAAUUAUUACAUAUAUCCCAGAAAAACCAAUGAAACAAAUGAAAUCUGAUAACCAACAUGAUCAACAAGCUUGGCAUUAUAUUCACCUUUCCACAUAAGCACCAAAACAAAAAGGAUGCAGUCAAUCUUGACACUAUAAAAAAAGAAAGGAAAAAAUGCUUACUGAUUAAUUGAGAUGUAGUUAGCCAAAUCCUUAGAUAUAGCAUAAAUCUGACCAGUUGCGUGUCGGAAGUAUCUAUUUCCUUCUUCACCGAAUUUCCAGAACUCGGGUUCAUGGUACUAAACAUUCCUGGAUAACAUAACAUAGGUAAAUGCGUAAAUCUCGACUAUCAUCAAAAUUGCUGUAUAAAGAGCUUAAAAUGAAAAAAAUAAAAAAAAUAAAAAAAUCUACCAUUUGACAGUGAAAUCCCAGAUUAUACAGUUGUUGAGGGGAGAACAUUGUUGUUAGGUAAUUGAAUCCGUUCAAUCUGCAAACCUUUUAUCGUCGCCCCACGAACUCUUCUCUUCCAUAUAUUCACCUCAUCACGGCCACCGAAACCUGGCGCCGCAGCAGGUGGUUGCACCCUCUUCACCACCGGCAAGGGCGGAUCCAGUUCAUCAAUAUUCACUUCUUUGACACUUUCUUGAUCCUUAAUCUUGGAUUUUCUUGAAUCAACUACACACAUUUCCCUGCUGCUUCUACAACUUCUUCGAGUGGUGGCGAUAGUGGCGGUCUUAGUGGUGGCUGGCAUGAGGGCUUUGCUGGAAAACAGUUUUUUCAACUUGGUAUAUUUGUUGUUGUGGUGGUGGUUGACUGCAGCGGCGCUGGUGGCAGCGGCUGUGAAUCUGUAGGUGGCGGGAAAGCUAAUGAUUCUGUUGUUUCUCUUGACUUGUCCUAUGCAACUGACUUUAGGGGAAGAAGGAUCGGAUGAUGAAGAUUGAUUUUUGUAGUGAUUUAGUUUUAUGUCUUUGAUUGAAAUUUUGCAUAGCAUUGGCAAGAAAAUUGUUUUCUGAUGAAUCUGGUCGUGAUUAUCAUGAAGAUCACAGGAUCCUUUGCUGAAUUCUACAUUUGAUGAUCUCAUUUUUCGUGUAUUUUUCUAUUGUUAGGAACAAGGUUGGUGUGAAAUUGUGAUCAAAGUAAAUAAGAAGGGAUGAAGGAUAGGCAAAAUUAAAUGGU
rnacentral:lncRNA from 1 species